UCCGUAGGCGGUGCGGCAAGUCGGAAGUGAAAUCUCAGGGCUUAACCCUGAGGCUGCUUCCGAAACUGCCGUGCUCGAGUGCGAGAGAGGCGAGUGGAAUUGCAGGUGUAGCGGUGAAAUGCGUAGAUAUCUGCAGGAACAUCCGAGGCGAAAGCGGCUCGCUGGAUCGCAACUGACGCUGAGGGACGAAAGCUAGGGGAGCAAACAGGAUUAGAUACCCUGGUAGUCCUAGCCCUAAACGAUCAGGACUGGGCGUGGGCCUCGUACGGGGCUCGUGCCGCAGCUAACGCGUUAAGUCCUGCGCCUGGGGGGUACGGUCGCAAGGCUGAA
rnacentral:rRNA from 1 species